UACACGUGCACGGUAACUAACGCCAUUAAAGUGAGGUCGCUUGAUCUAAGGUGGUCCUAAGCGUUUUUUGGGGAGGGGAAUCUAGUAGAAUAGUUCAACGAGAGCGCAGUGAUAGUGUACGCGCCGAUACAUUCCACGCAGCCCCGCAGACACAAGUGAAUAAAUAAACCGCGAGAGGCGUAAUUAUGAUUUGUCCUUAUCUUUUCGGAACAUUCUUUUGGGCGUUGCUCUGCGCAAACAAAUGUCGUACGAAUGAAGGAAAUGUCCUGAACGAUGGCCAAGUCCUCAACAUGUCAACUCCCUGCGUGAGUUACAGCUGUCGUAAAGGAAACCUUACGACGCAAAAGUGUCCAGGAGCUGGCGAUCCGGCAUGCAAGGCAUCUUUCGUCGAAGACGGCCCAUUCCCGAAGUGUUGCGGCGCAGUCUCCUGUUCAGGACACGGUCGUCAAAGAACGUGAAUCGCGUGAGCAAAGUCAGACGAUAUACAUAGAUCCGAAGAAGUGGAAAUAUGUUCUGCGAAUACCUUGCGUGGACUUUUCUGUUUAAUAUUUUUUGCUCAUAUCAUUGUAGGUUACCCGAUAACACCACUGUUCUCUCAAAUGGAGGGUCAAUGAAUUCGACGCAUCCUUGUGUGCGGUACAUUUGCAACCAGGGAAACCUAACCACGAGAAAAUGCCCCAAGAAAGGUUACCCAGAUUGCCUGACUCCUGACGCACUGAAGAGCGCAUUUCCUGUCUGUUGUCCUCCACCGGUAUGUUCGUGACAGUAAAUAUGCGGGAGACAGAACGACUUGUUUCUUUUUUUUUUCUUUUUCUGUAUUGCCACUGUUUUUUGAAAAUGGCACCGUCACUUGACGAAAAGAAACAAAGGAAGAAGAUAUGCUUUGGUAUUUUUCCUUCUUUGUUUCUACUGAAAUGUCUUUUAGUAGAACUGUUUGUAUUCAAUAAAGUUAACUGGA